UGAAUCGGGAUAUAGGGAAUAGAUCAGAGAGGGGAUGUACAGAAAGCCAAAAUAAAGUGAAACAAGUCUAAGUGAUGUUACUCUGGAGAAUUUUGAACAGCAAGAGGGUCAUUCUCCAAGUUGGACAGGAAGGUGAUUAUGCAGUUGAUAGGGCAGAUGGGUGAUGCCUGUAGAUUUCUAGGUUCAGGGCAACAAAUGAAGUCUGAAAAGACAACUUGCUGAUCAGCUGCAGAGGUGCUUGUAUGCCUUGGAUGACAGAGUGGAAGAACAAUACAGGUGAUGAGAGUCCAGCAUGAUAUUUGAAAGAGGAGUUGCUGAUGACAGUGUUUGGAAGAGAAAGAAAAAGAUUCACAUCAUAGAUUUUGAUGAUGAAAAUAACAUUAUAAACAAAAACGUUCUCCUUCAUCAAGUGGGUGAAAUUUGGCACAUUAGUACCAGUCCUGCAGAUAAAGGUGUACUGGCAACCUGCUACAAUAAAACUUCAGACAGUAAAGUCAUGACAUGUGCUGCUGUUUGGAGGAUGCCGAAGGAAUUGGAAUCAGGCAGUCAUGAAUCCCCUGAUGAUUCAUCAAGCAACACUCAAACCCUGGAGCUACUCUGUCACCUUGACAACACAGCCCAUGGCAAUAUGGCCUGUGUUAUGUGGGAACCAAUGGGAGAUGGUAAAAAGAUUAUUUCGCUGGCUGAUAACAACAUAUUAUUGUGGGAUUUGCAGGAAAGUUCAGCCAAAGCUGUGCUCUCUAGUUCUGCAGCCUUGGAAGGGAAAGGGCAAUUAAAAUUUACUUCUGGAAGAUGGAGUCCACACCACAAUUGUACACAGAUUGCAACAGCCAAUGAUACCACUGUUCGAGGAUGGGAUACACGAAGCAUGAGACAGAUAUAUUGCAUAGAAAAUGCACAUGGACAGCUGGUACGAGACCUAGACUUUAAUCCCAAUAAACAGUACUACCUGGCUAGCUGUGGAGAUGACUGCAAGGUGAAAUUCUGGGACACAAGAAAUGUCACUGAACCAGUGAAGACGCUAGAGGAGCAUUCCCACUGGGUCUGGAAUGUCAGAUACAAUCAUUCUCAUGAUCAGCUGAUCCUUACAGGAAGCAGUGAUAGCAGAGUUAUCCUGUCUAAUAUGGUAUCAAUUUCUUCCGAACCAUUUGGGCAUAUGGUAGAUGAUGAUGAACUAAGUGACCAAGAGGACCAGCAUCAAGAAGAGAAGAUUAAAGAGCCCCUUCAGGACAGUGUAAUAGCUACCUAUGAAGAACAUGAAGAUAGUGUAUAUGCAGUUGAAUGGUCCUCAGCAGACCCGUGGCUAUUUGCCUCUUUAAGUUAUGAUGGGAGACUUGUUAUUAACAGGGUUCCCAGAGCUCUUAAAUAUCACAUACUGUUAUAAUUUGUUUGGAUUAUGGUGGUGGUGUUAUCCUGAUGUACACAAUUGAGUCUCAGUAUUAUUUUGGGAAACGACCUUGUUGCAGAACACUCCUUGGCAGUAAGACUGCGGAGGCAAGCUGAUUUCUGUACAGCAAGGAGUCCACCACUGCUUCGGAAAUUCAAAUCAUGGUUUAUACAGUCACGUAUCAGCAUUGGGGAUAUGAAGAAAGUGCUUAAAACUUUGUCGUGGAGCCUAUGGUAUGAAUGCCAUUCUGAGACUGCAGAAAGCCUGUGAUUUCCGGAAUAGCAAGUGAAGUGACUGAGAGAAAAGUGCAAAUCAGUUUUUAGAGAAGCCUGGCUUUCCCAUAAAGGGAGCUGCUGGGUGUGAAGCCGUGGAUACUCUCCAGAACAAUUUGCACAUUGCUCCUGCUCAUUCCACCUGCCUCUCUGGUGGAGGUGAGGUGAGGAACUAGCGAAGUGAGAGGAAAAUGACACGCAAGGAUUUAGAGAAAAAGACAAAAGGAGAAGGAAAAAGUAAAAGGAAGACUGACAAAUACAGAGUGAAAAGUGAACUGAAAAAGACAAAAUCAGGGAAAGAUCGGUCUGGAAAAACAGCAAGAGGAAAGAGGGAAGAAACUGGCAAGAAAUGAAAUAAAGAGAAAGAUACAGGAAUAAGCAGUAAAAAAAUGGAGAAGAAUUGUUCUUUGCUUGUUUUAGUUAUGAUACUAAGGGUCCUUAAUCUUCCUGUUAUUCUCCCUGUGUAACUGAUUUUAGUGCUAGAGAAUUGCUGGUUUACAUCGCAGCAUUUUAGUUCUGAUAUUGGAGAUGGUUCAUGCAGGAUUGUUGCUAUCAAGUUUGGCAUAAAGAAACAUGUUCUUGUUGAUCCAUAAGUUAUUAGUCCUAACUCAUGGGUUUUAAGGGUUUAAGAUUUUCAGCUGGUUAUUACUCUUUUCAGGGGUCAGGUUGCAACUGCAUGUGUGAGCAGCUGUAGUCUUGUUUCAGUGCAAAAUUAUCACAUUGGGUAGUCAACCCAAGGGAGCAGUACCCUGAGAGGCAGGAAGAAAAUUUCAAGUGGGCUGUUUCUUGAGUCACACCAGUUAGAUCUGCAAAAGCUUCUGUUUAUGAGAGACACUGUUUAUCCCCCUGUUUAUGACUUCAGGGGAGUGUCCUAGUGAGAACAGCUCAAGAUACUAGAUGCGAUUAAUAAAGUAUGUAAGGUGCAUCCUCCCUUCCACACUGACUUCCCUUACAGCAAAAGAAUUUUGAGUUGUUCUUGAGAAAAUUCCCCAUUUUGAUGCUACAGUUUUCAGUGCUACAGCAGCCCCAACUUCAUAAAGGGGUUUUAGUGCUCCAGCACAGAAGAUAGCUUUGGGGAGAAAGAGAUGAAUGAGUCUUACUAAAUCCAGGAGCCAAGCUCCCUGUGUGGAGACGCAUGGCAAAUAUGUGGGUUGCUGUUGCCCUGGAGCUAUAGCAACAGCUGCCAAGCAGCUGGGCUGAGCAGGGAGGACCUCUAAUGUACCUUCUCAGCAAAUUGUCCAUUUAUUCUGAUGCUGCCCCGAGUUCAGGAUUUUGGCAGGAGAAACUAUGGAAAAGCUUUUAAACAGAAUGAAUUUAGAAGAGUAUGGGAAACCUUGGAAGACCCAAAGAUACCACAUACUAGUCAGCAAGUCUAGAUGAGCUGAAUCCUGGGGUGGUAAUAGACUUGGCAGACAAAUUCUCUGAACCACUGCCAGUUUCUAAAAAUUUGCUUAGGACUGAGAUGAUAAGAAAGACUGGAAAAUAGCAGAAAUGGUAUUGACAUUUGGAGGUAUGUGGAACAGCAGUGCACGGAGUUGGAUAAGGAAACGUGUUUCAGAGUGAGGAAAGUUUAGCCAAAUUAUGAAUGGUUUAUUUGGGGGUUUUUUACUUAGGGUUUUUUUUAUAAACACUAGUCAAAACACUAGCAAGUAUCAGAAAUUGUGAUCGCAUCCAUGAAAC